GACCUUACAGAUCAAGAUGGUCUUCGUUUCAACAUAAGUGCAACAUCAGAAUCUGAUGCUCCUCCAAUCCUUAAUGCCCUCGAAACUUAUAAAUUGAUAUCACCACUUACAUCUCCAACUUACGGAACAGAUGGUAUUAUAAUUUCUCAACCAACUAUUUUCCAUUGUUGUUUCAUGAUCUGGGAGUCUGUUGGCUUUGACUUCUGAUACCCUGUUUAUUAUUGGUAACAAUAUAGCGGAUGCCAUUCGGGACAUAAAAGAGACCUACGAAAUCUACAAAGUAGAGUGGCAAGGUGACCCAGGUGUUCCGAAGGAAUUUGUAUGGCAGGGACUAAGUUGCAGAUAUGACAUCAAUAAUAACUCUAACCCCAGGAUUUUCUCACUAAACUUGAGCACCCGCAACUUAAGAGGACAAAUAGCUGCUUCAUUUUCACAACUUACGGAGUUGGAAUCCUUGGAUUUAUCAAGAAAUGGCCUGUCAGGACCGAUACCGGAAUUUCUUGCUAAAUUGCCAAAGUUGAGAACCCU